rnacentral:rRNA from 1 species
UUUGUUACUUCAAACCAAUCGGACCUCGGUCUGACAUCAAGUGAUAUUGAACAAUUUAGCUGAUCGCACGGUCUAAGAACCGGCGACAUAUCCUUCAAAUGUCUGCCUUAUCAACUUUCGAUGGUAGAUUAUGCGCCUACCAUGGUUGUAACGGGUAACGGAGAAUCAGGGUUUGAUUCCGGAGAGGGAGCCUGAGAAACGGCUACCACAUCCAAGGAAGGCAGCAGGCACGCAAAUUACCCACUCCCGGCACGGGGAGGUAGUGACGAAAAAUAACAAGCUGGUCUCAAUGAGUUCCAGCAUUGUAAUGGGAACAAUUUAAAUCUUUUAUCGAGGAUCUAUUGGAGGGCAAGUCUGGUGCCAGCAGCCGCGGUAAUUCCAGCUCCAAUAGCGUAUAUUAAAGUUGUUGCGGUUAAAAAGCUCGUAGUUGGAUCUAGGAUUAGGGCUACGGUCGUUCAGCUUGGACGUACUGUAUGCCCGACUCCUUUUCUCUAGUAUUCGAUUGUUGCUCUUAAAUGAGUGACUUUAGUUGCUGGAACUUUUACCUUGAAAAAAUUGAAGUGCUCAAAGCAGUUA